GUUAUGUAUUUUAUAGUAUAGAUUUUACAUUAUUUAUAGGAAAAUAAUUAAGAUUUUGGAUUGGAAAGACCCAUUUUCAAAUAACCCAAAACAUUGAGCCCAAUACCCUUUACACCCAAAUUAAAAUCUUUUAAGACCCCUAAUUCCUUACCAUAGAGAUGAGUAGCUAACACACAAAAAAGAAUUCCACCAGUUUCAAUCCCUGGACAGCCGCAUCACCUAUCGAUGGCAAAUCACAAAUAGGAUUUUUAAUGAAAAAGCUUCGGUGGCUCAUCCCCUAACCCCUCAAUUUCCUGAUAGGCACAUCAUCAUCACCAUCUUUGAUGUUUGAAGUAUUGCCAUAUUGGAUUGAUAAAAGGACAAGACAAACGUCUGGACAAGGCAAACUUCUUCUUGUUUUAUCAAAAAUCCAUCUAUUCUUUGGUCAGAAAAAGAUCUCCUCUUUACAUAACACACAUACAUAUUUGAAUCUUCAAUUGGCCAUUGAAACACACAGCAUCGACGUAAGCAACGCCGACGCAAAAUGGGUCAGCUUGGAUCGUAGAGUAGAGAUGGGAGGUUUAAUAGUGCAGGGGAUUCCCUCGUAGCCUUUCACCUCCUCUCUCAUUUUCUGGUGUCGAUUGGGGUUCGAGGUUCCGCUCGAGAAAUGUGCUCAUAGGUCCGAUUGGUAGUAGCUCGUUUCAUUUUUGGGAAAGUUCUUUUUGAGGUCCAGUUUCCAUUCUCUCUUUGUUGUUUCUUGCAAAAGUAUAUUUUGGUUGGAAUAAUACUUGAAUUUUGAAUAAAUACAUGAUAUUUGCUUUAGUUUUAAAAUUUCCCUUUGAUGUAUUUUUCUCCCAUUUUCCAAUUCUACGUUUUGUGCUUUCCCUUGGGCAUAUUUUGAUGUUGUAGUUUCAAGAUUUUGUGAUUGAAUCAUAAAGCAUGAAUUUAAGUUGUGAAUGAAUUAUGAAACUGUUAAUUCUCAUGAACGGAUGAUCCUUGAUUGUUAUUUUCAUUAAUUAUUUUAUUGUAAUAAAUGAAUAUUCGUAAAAUGCUUUGGGCGUGUUCUAAUAUAUUAUCGUAAUUGUGUACACGUUCACGUGACAUAAUUAUGACUUCCAAAUUAAAACCAAGGUAUGCGUUUGUGCAACUUUGGCCAAACUUUAUUAAUAAUUAAUAAUGUGUUAUUAAUUAUGCACACGUACGCGUGACAUGAUUUUGACACGCCAAACAAAAUGAGUUCAUGUACGCGUGACUCGUUUUAAGAUAAUUUCAUAAUUACGAAUAAUCGAGUAAUUAAAAAUAGUAGAAGGUAAAAAUGUACGUAAGUUCUAAAAUGAGUAAUUAGACCAAUUAAUUAAGCCAAGUAUAAUUAUUAAAGCGACCGUGCUCAAACCACGAAAUUCGGGAAUGCCUAACACCUUCUCUCGGGUUAACAAAAUUCCUUACCCAGUCUUCUGUGCUCGCAGACCAUAAAUAGAGUCAAAUUUCCUCGACUUAGGAUUUAAAAUAAAUCGGUGACUUGGGACACCAUAAAUUAUCCCAAGUGGUGACUCUGAAUAAAUAAAUAAUCCCAUUUCGAUUAUUGUCACUUAAAUUGGAAAAACUCUCUUAUAUCCCGUUUCGGGUAAAAAGGAGUGUGACUCAUAUCACACCAUUCUUGAUUGUCAUGCCAAGACUGUUACUUUAGUGAUGCCAGAGUUGUCGAGAUUGAAGUGGAAUGGUUCCUCCGUUAGUGCAUCCAGUCGGGUUAUCUCUUUUCUGAAGGCUCGACACCUGGUCGACAAGGGUUAUUUGGCGUAUCUAGCAUAUAUUUGGGACACCAUCGUAGAGUCUGCAACGAUUGAUUCAGUGCCAGUAGUCCAGGAGUUCGCCGAUGUAUUUCCUUCUCACCUUCCAGGCAUGCCGCUGGAUUGUGACAUUGAUUUUUGUAUUGAUUUGGCUCCAGGUACCCAGCCUAUAUCUAUUUUACCGUACCGUAUGGCACCGAAAGAGUUGAAGGAGCAACUUGAGGAAUUGUUAGAAACGGGGUUUGUGAGGCCCAGUGUAUCACCUUGGGGUGAACCAAUGCUAUUUAUGAAGAAGAAAGAUGAGACUAUGCGGAUGUGCAUUGAUUACCACCAGUUGAACAAGGCUACCAUAAAAAACAAAUACCCUUUGCCGCGCAUUGAUGAUUUUUUCGACCAGUUGCAUGGUGCUAGGGUGUUCUCUAAGAUCGACUUGAGAUCAGGGUAUCAUCAGCUGAAGAUUCGAGACUCAGAUGUCCCGAAGACUGUUUUCCAUACUAGAGAUGGCCACUACGAGUUUCUGGUGAUGUUCUUUGGCUUGACUAAUGGUCCAGCGGCGUUUAUGGACUUGGUGAACAAGGUGUUCAGGCCUUAUAUUGAUUCCUUUGUUAUUGUCUUCACUGAUGACAUCUUGCUAUACUCACGUAGACUGGGGGAGCACGAGCAACAUUCGAGAGCAGUGCUUCAGACCUUGCAAGAGUAGAAGCAAUAUGCUAAGUUCUCCAAGUAUGAGUUUUGGCUAGAGUCAGUAGCAUUCUUGGGGCAUAUUAUAUUAGGAGAGGGUAUUAAGGUGGAUCCCAAGAAGAUUAAGGCAGUUCAGAGAUGGCCACGUCCUAUUUCAGUGACUGAGAUCAUGAGCUUCCUAGGGUUAGCAGGUUAUUACCACCGAUUUGUGCAGUGCUUUUAAUUUGUUGCAUCACCUUUGACUAAAUUGAGCCAGAAGGGUGCUCCCUUCCGUUGGUCCGAUGAUUGUGAGGUGAGCUUUUAGAAGCUCAAGACAACUUUGACUAUAGCACCGCUCCUAGUGUUGCCUUCCGGUUCGGGGAUGUAUAUGGUAUAUUGCAACACUUCACGCAUUGUUUUGGGAUGUGUAUAUAUGUAGGAGGGGCGAGUUAUUACAUAUGCUUCACGUCAGCUGAAGAUUCAUGAGAAGAACUACCCAGUGCACGACCUAGAGUUAGCAACAAUUGUUCAUGCUCUUAAGAUAUGGAGGCAUUAUCUGUAUGUGGUGUUAUGUGAGGUUUAUAUUGAUCAUCAUAGCUUGCAGCAUUUGUUCAAGCAAAGGGAUCUCAAUUUGAGGCAGCGUAGAUGACUUGAGUUGCUAAAGGAUUAUGACAUCACCAUUCUUUAUCAUCCGGGCAAGGCAAACGUGGUCGCAGAUGCCUUGAGUAGGAAAGUAGAGAGUAUGGGUAGCUUGGCAUUCAUACUAGCAGAGGAGAGGCCACUAGCUUUGGACAUUCAGUCCUUGGCUAACAGACUUGUGAGGUUGGAUAUUUUAGAGCCCAGCCGAGUCCUUGCGUGUGUUGUUGCUCAGUCUUCACUAUUGGGGCAGAUCAAGGCACGGUAGUUCGAUGAUCUACAUUUGGCAGUUCUCAAAGAGACGAUGCUACAGGAUAGUGCCAAGGAGGUUUCUAUUGGCGAGGAUGGUGUUCUGCGACUCUAGGGUCGCCUAUGUGUUCCUAAUGUCGAUGGCUUGAGGGGGAGGAUUCUAGAGGAGGUACACAGUUCACGAUAUUCCAUUCAUCCAGGUGCUACGAAGAUGUAUCAUGACCUGAGGUAGCAUUAUUGGUGGCGGUGGAUGAAGAAAAAUAUAGUUGAGUAUGUGGCUAGGUGUUUGAAUUGCCAGCAGGUUUAAUAUGAGCACCAGAGGCCAGGUGGCCUAUUUCAGCAGAUGCCUAUACCUGAGUGGAAGUGGGAGCGCAUUACUAUGGACUUCGUAGUUGGGUUGCCGCGGAUAUUACGGAAGUAUGAUGCAGUUUGGGUCAUUGUUGACAGGUUGACCAAGUUGUCACACUUCAUUCCGGUUAUGACUACUUAUACUUCAAAGAGGUUGGAUCAGAUAUACAUUCGGGAGAUAGUUCGGUUUCACGUCAUUCCUGUUUCCAUCAGAUCAGAUAGACACCCUCAGUUCACUUCCCAUUUUUGGAGAGCCAUACAGAGUGAGUUGGGAACUUGGGUAGAGCUCAGUACAACAUUCCACCCACAGACCGACGGGCAGUCGAAGCGGAGAGUUUAGAUUCUGGAGGACAUGCUUAGAGCAUGUGUGAUUGACUUUAGAGGGCAGUGGAAUCAGUUCUUGCCUUUGGCCGAAUUUGCUUACAACAAUAGUUAUCAGUCCAGCAUCGAGAUGACUCCAUUUGAGGCUUUAUAUGGUCGGCGAUGCCAUUCUCCUAUUAGGUGGUUUGAGUCUGGCAAGGCUAAGAUACAUGGUACAGAUUUGGUGAAAGAUGCCUUGGAAAGGGUAACGUUGAUUCAGGAAAGACUUUGCAUAGCUCAAUCCAGAUAGAAGAGUUACGCGGAUCAGAAGGCACGUGAUGUAUCAUUCAUGGUCGGCGAGAAUGUUCUCUUGAAAGUCUCACCGAUGAAGAGUAUUAUGAGAUUCGGGAAGAAGGGCAAGUUGAGCCCAAGGUUUAUAGGCCCAUUUGAGGCGUUGAGGCGAGAUGGAGAGGUUGCUUAUGAGCUUGCUUUAGCCCCAGCUUAUCGGGAGUUCAUCCAGUUUUUCAUGUGUCUAUGCUUCGGAGGUAUCACACCGACUUAUUUCAUGUGUUAGACUUCAGUACUAUUCAGCUAGACGAAAGCUUAGGUUAUGAGGAGGAGCCAGUUGCCAUUGUUGAUAGACAUGAUCGCCAAUUGAGAUCCAAGAGGAUUUCUGCAGUAAAGGCCCAAUGGAGGUGCCAACCAGUCGAGGAAGCGACCUGGGAGUCCGAUGAGGACAUGCAAAACAGAUAUCCACACUUAUUUAGCACUUCAGGUAUGAAUCUAAACCCGUUCGAGGAUGAAUGUUUGUUUAAGAGUUGGAGAAUGUAACGACUCGAAUGGUCGUUUUGUUUUCUAGAACACAUUCCCCUGAAUAAGACUUUUCGUUCUUGCUUUAACAUAUUUAUGACUUGCGGGGAUGGUUGGUUCAGGAUUUGGAAGAGUUUGGGUUGAAAUCGGAACACUUGGUUCUUUAAGGUUGGCUUAAAAGGCCAAGUUUGACUUCAGUCAACGUUUUGAGUAAACGACCUCAAAAUUCGGAUUUGAAGGUUCCAACAGGUCCGUAUGAUGAUUACGAACUUGGGUGUAUGUCCGGAUCGGGUUUUGGAUGACCCGUGAGCAUUUUGACGCCUAAUAGUGAAAGUUGAUCCCUUAAGGAUUUUGAAGUUCUUAAAUAUUUGGUUUGGAGCGGGAUUUUGUGUUAUUGAGGUUCGAACAGAAUUUUGGGACCGGAAAUAGAUCCUUAUUGUCAUUUUAGACUUGCACGCAAAAUUCGGUGUCAAUCCAGGUAAUAUAAGUGUGUUUCGUCACAUUGGAAAUAGAUUGAAGAACUUGAAGUUCAUAAGUUUUAUUCAAUUGGUUUUAUGGGGGUUAAAUUUUAGAUUUAGCAUUGUUUCAGGCGUUUCGAGGGUUCAAACGAGUCUGUUUUAUCAUUUCAAACUUAUAGGUAUGUUCGGGCGGGGCCCCGAAUCGGACGAGGCUCGAGCUUAGUAAGUAAAUGUGGAAAAGGGCUGAAGCUUCAGGCUUCUGUCAUAACCGCACCUGCGAUUGGCUAGCCGCAGGUGCGAGCCCGCAGAAGCACCUAGACCAUCGCAGAUGUGUCCACGGGUGGCCAUCCCAGGAGCCGCAGAGGCGGCCUAUCUUCUACAGAAGCGGAUUGUGUCUCGCAGAAGCGGCCCAGCCGGCCAAGGUAAAUUUUGCAAAAGCGAACUCAUUUCUGCAGAUGCGGUGGGAAAAGGUGCGGCCGGCCCAAGACCGCAGAUGCGAUAAUCGCUGAAGGCAGUAACCUUCAUUUAUUACGGGUGUUAGCCAUUUUUGGCUCAUUUUUACUCAAAGGUUGGGCGAUUUUGGAGCUCUUGAGAGAGGAAUUUUAUUACGAGCUCUUACUCGUGGGCCCGGGGUUGAAUUUUAGGAACCUUUCCCUUGGGGUUGGACAAUUGCUUUAAUAGCUAGAAGAUAAAUUUUUAAGCCUAUAAUAAUGAACUUUUACACUAUUUGAACAGUUUCGAUUUGUGUGGCUCCGGUUUGAGAGUUUGGACUAAUUCUUGAGUUGGAAGUCGGCUUGAAACGAGGUAAGUCUCUUUUCUAAUCUUUUAGGGAAAAUGUCCUCAUAGGUGUAUUUAAUUAAUAUAUGAUUAAUUAUGGGGGCUACCUAUGCACGAGGUGACGAGAGUCCGAAUGUAGCUACUAUUCCUGUUAUGUCCGGGUAGUUCUAGGAUCACAUCAUGCUUCGUGGUCGCUAUUAAUUCCUUAUAUAUGCUAAUGGUAUGAAAGGAAGUAAGUUGAAGAAAAUCUAAGGAUUUAUGGGAUUCAAUGAAUUGCAUUCAUUUUUAUAAAAAGGGAAUUAAAGAAUUGUUGUGUUUAAAUGAUGAAAAUUUUGUUUACCGCGUCGCACUUAUGAUUCGCGAGCGGGGUUAUUCUUUUACCGCGUCGUAUGUAUGAUUCACGAGUGGGGUGUAUAGAUGCAUCUAUGGUUCGUGUCGUUCGACCCUCGGCAGUGCAUAUUUUACUUUUAUGUUGGAUCGACCCAAUCGUCCUUGGUGGUAUUUGUUGGUGAUAAUAGAACCGUAACCCUUAUAAUUUAUAUUACUUAUUGUUGGAAAGGUCACUAAUUUAAAUGAGGAAGUGCUUAGUUUUAUUAAUUGGAUGAAAGGAUUUUCAAUAAUUAUUCUUGUUUGAGCUUGUUAUUAUCUACAUACACUGUGAAUGAAAUAUGUUGAACUUCAUAUUAUUAUAUUUGCUAGCUUAGUAAGUAUCGAAGUCGACCCCUCGUUACUACUUUUGCGAGGUUAGGCGAGAUACUUACUGACUACAUAUUUUUAUGUAUUCAUGCUACGCUUCUGUACUUGAUUGUACAGGCUUUGAGGCAGGUGCAUCUGGCCAUCAGUCUGGCGCAUAGAGUGGUCAUCUCAGCUCGAGACUUUCCGGUGAGCUGCCCUUCCCAACCGAUCUGCAGUAGGUGGAGUCUCUCUUUUGUCUUUAUGUUCCUGUCUAUUUCUUUUUCCAGACAGUAGGAUAGCAUGGUUUUGUAUAUUCUACUAGGUUACCCACACACUUGUGACACCAGGUCUUAGCACACACAUUAGUAGAAUUAUGAUGUUUUGGCUUGUCUUCAUGAUUGAGAUUCGC
rnacentral:lncRNA from 1 species